UACAGAGGGUGCAAGCGUUAAUCGGAAUUACUGGGCGUAAAGCGAGCGUAGUCGGUUAUUUAAGUCGGAUGUGAAAUCCCCGGGCUCAACCUGGGAAUUGCAUUCGAUACUGGAUAGCUAGAGUUCGGCAGAGGGAAGCGGAAUUUCUGGUGUAGCGGUGAAAUGCGUAGAUAUUGGGAGGAACACCAGUGGCGAAGGCGGCUCGCUGGACCGGAACUGACGCUGAGGCGCGAAAGCGUGGGGAGCAAACAGG
rnacentral:rRNA from 1 species